UGGUCACACUUAGUGGGGCGCCAAGAGGAAAUAUCGAUAUCGAUUCCGAGUGUUGUGAUAAAAAUUACAAAUAAAUUAUAAAACCGAACGAAAGAAAAUCAUGGAAAAAAGUGAGCCCAGCUAUGGCGCUAUGUGGACAUUCAAGCUGGUGGCACCGUACGUGAUCGUCGGCUACUUGUGCGGCCUCGCGGUGACGCUUGCAUGGAACUGGUGGCAGCUGGGAUACUUGGUUCUGAGUCUAAACCUAACCUACGCGUUCCCGGUGGCGAUUGUUCUGGCGCUUCUUUACAGCCGGCCCGUUAGGUGCAUCUUGACGCUGGCCGUUCCCUCGCUGUGCAGCUCUAGGGGCAGGGCGUUCCUCAUCAGCCUCGCCUUUGUCGUGGCCGCUGUCGGGCCUACGGCCAACAUUGUAUCCAAUUUGAAGGUGAUGCUCCGAAGCCUCGCUUGCGGACAGGAGCUAUUGAGACAGGCGCUUGGCCAGAUGUUGGACGUAAUACUGGAGCCGGUGAAUGCCAUCCAACUGGCGGUGGAUCUGUUGCUGCAGGAAGUGCGUCGGGUGCUCAAGCUGGCCAUGUUAGUGCUGUUACGCAUUCAGGACCACCUAGUUGCAAUUAUUGAAACCCUGAAGAACUGCGCCGCUUGGCUGAAAUCCAUCGUAGACAUGUGCAACACAGAAAUGGGCACUCCCUGGGCACGUUGCAAAAAGACGGCGCAUCAAGCUAUGAUCAGGUGCCAGUCAAAAUUGGGCGUAUUCAAGGCACUCUGCCAUGCUACAAAACUAUUUCUGGCCCUCUGCUACCCCGCAAAGAUCAUCGAUGUGUUUUGCAGCGGUUACUGGGAUUUCAGCUGGGGUCUCCUUGAUAAAAUCUUUGAACGCUACCGCGAAUUUGUGCGGCACAUAGAGGAAAUGUUCGACGCCAAUAUCACUUUCGAGCACGAAUUCUUCUUUGACACAAACUCCUCUAAGAGCCUGGUGGAUGUGGGAGAGGAAAUUAUACAGGACAUUAACAAGCGACUGCCGUCAUUUAUCUUCUUGAGCAGCUUUGUGGACAUUCUCUGCUGGGUCAUGGUGGUUACUGUGUUUUUAAAAGCCACCAUCUUCUACCUGCGAUACAUGCACAGCCGCCAAUUUCAGAAUGUGUUCAUGACAAAGAUUCUAAGUGAUAUCGACCGGCGCUACGAAAAGCACGGUUACGAUCCACUACUACCACUUCAACGGCUUGAAAGGUCAAAGUAUAUGAAGCUUACUAGUUUGCGCUUGACUUUAUUUGAGUUCGUGUCUAUUGUUGAGAACGCCUGUUUCAUGGCCACAACGUGUCUGCAGCUGUUUGCAAUCUGCUUCCUGGAUUAUGGGCUGUUCUGGCUGCUGACCACUAUGUCCUUUCAUGGCCACCAAGAGUCUGGGUUGGAGGUGCCCGCUUACGUCGAUCUAGAGAUAAAAGGUGGGGGCUUUGUGGCCGAUGUAAUGCGAGGAAUCGCUAAUGCCUUUCGCCCCUUGACGCAAAAAAGCAUUCUAGACGUCAAUCCCUGCAUACCGCUGCCCGUAAAACCAGAUUAUGCUAAGUAUAUAAUUAUAUUACUUCUCUGUCUGCUCGCUUGGCUGAUCCUUUUGGCCGAGCCAUAUAUUUUGCGCACCCGCCAUCUCAUAAUGGCCUACUUCUAUCCAGAACGCGCCAAGGAGAGAGGUAGCUUUCUGUACAACAUGAUUUCUGAAGAUAGAAGUAAGGAAGAACAUAAUUUUUUUGAAGUUGUUCUAAAUGUAUUCUUUCUAGUAAGCAUUUUUAAGUUUGUUCGCCGCAGAAAGCGUAAUAAGUUUAACCACACACCGAAUGUUAAGAAAACUAGAAACUUCACUUGGCUGUAUAGCGGAUUCUCCUGUUUAAUCUGCUUGUGCUCCUGCUGCCCCUUCUGCCAGAGCACUGAGAGGUGCACCAUAUGUGGCCGAGCUCUGACUCCUUCGAAUCGUAACCCCUGCGACACUCCUGGAUGUAAAGGGGUUUACUGCAGCAAAUGCUUCGAAAAGUCUCACAAUAAGUGCUGUCUGUGUAAUCGACCCGUGGAUUAUGGUGAUUUUUCCGACGUUACUGAAGUGGACGACUCUUCGGACUAUUCUGAAAAAGAAUCAUUCAGCGAAAAACAAUUCAGAAAGACCUGUGGAGCACAACGCUAACAACGAGAGAAUACAAGUUAUCCAGAAAUAUUUUCACCUAUUAAACCUGAUAUUCAGCUAAUUAAAAAUAUAUGGUUUAGAAACUUUACGCCAAGGCCAUUUACGAUAAUUAUGCGGACACGUCGGACGAGCUGCCCUUCAAGAAGGGCGACAUCCUCACCGUUCUGGAGCAGGACACUGAGGGCUUCCAGGGGUGGUGGCUCUGCUCCCU